AUUAAACGCUGGCGGCAUGCUUUACACAUGCAAGUCGAACGGUAACAGGCCUUCGGGUGCUGACGAGUGGCGAACGGGUGAGUAAUGCAUCGGAACGUACCCAGAGGUGGGGGAUAACGCAGCGAAAGCUGUGCUAAUACCGCAUGUGAUCUGAGGAUGAAAGCGGGGGACCGAGCAGCAAUGUUUGGCCUCGCGCCUUUGGAGCGGCCGAUGUCGGAUUAGCUAGUUGGUGGGGUAAAGGCCUACCAAGGCGACGAUCCGUAGCUGGUCUGAGAGGACGACCAGCCACACUGGGACUGAGACACGGCCCAGACUCCUACGGGAGGCAGCAGUGGGGAAUUUUGGACAAUGGGCGCAAGCCUGAUCCAGCAAUGCCGCGUGCGGGAAGAAGGCCUUCGGGUUGUAAACCGCUUUUGGCAGGAACGAAACGGUGUCCGCUAAUACCGGGCGCUAAUGACGGUACCUGCAGAAUAAGCACCGGCUAACUACGUG
rnacentral:rRNA from 1 species